AUGAACCCAUCGCGGUCCGCCCCGGCGUCGUUCCGGGACCGCACCAACGAGUUCCGCUCCGCCGUCGAGAGCGCGCGCCGCCACGUCGCCCCGUCCCCAGCCGCCGCGUCGGCCAGCGGCAGCGCCGGGCCCCUCGACGACUCGCGCUCCGCCGCGUCGGCGCACUCCGAGUUCAACCGCCGCGCCUCCAAGAUCGGGCUCGGGAUCCACCAGACCUCCCAGAAGCUCGCCCGCCUUGCCAAAUUGGCAAAGAAGACAUCUGUUUUUGAUGACCCUACCUUAGAGAUACAAGAGUUGACUGCAGUUGUUAAGAAGGACAUUGGUGCUUUGAAUAAUGCUGUUAUGGACUUACAAGUUCUGUGCAAUUCACAAAAUGAGAGCGGCAAUCUUUCCAAGGAUACAACAAACCAUUCCACUACCGUUGUGGACAACCUGAAAAAUCGACUGAUGAGUGCAACGAAAGAAUUCAAAGAAGUCCUUACCAUGCGGACAGAGAAUUUGAAGGUUCAUGAAAACAGAAGGCAAAUGUUCUCCUCCUCAGCUGCAAAAGAUGCAUCAAAUCCAUUCAUUCGUCAGCGGCCCCUUGUUCCCAGAGAGGCAUCCGACGCUGCACCCCCAGCACCAUGGGCCAGUGACUCUGCAACUACGCCGUUGUUUCAGAGGAAGAAGACUAAUGGAGAUCAUGGAGCAUCGUCGUCGUUGUCGUCUCCUGCUUUCAUGCAGCAGCAGCAAUUGGCAGUACAGCAGGAUAGUUACAUGCAGAGCAGAGCUGAGGCUCUUCAAAAUGUGGAAUCAACCAUCCAUGAGCUGAGCAACAUCUUUACCCAGCUGGCAACCAUGGUGUCUCAGCAGGGAGAGCUAGCAAUCAGAAUCGAUGAGAACAUGGAGGAGACGGUAGCCAACGUUGAGGGGGCGCAGGGUCAACUCCUGAAGUACCUCAACAGCAUCUCAUCAAACAGGUGGCUGAUGAUGAAGAUAUUCUUCGUGCUGAUGGUGUUCCUCAUGAUCUUCAUAUUCUUCGUGGCAUGA
rnacentral:rRNA from 1 species